rnacentral:rRNA from 1 species
AUGAAGCUGGAAUUGCUAGUAAUGGCAGGUCAGCAUACUGCCGUGAAUACGUUCCCGGGCCUUGUACACACCGCCCGUCACACCAUGAGAGUUGGAAAUACCCGAAGCCUGUGAGCUAACUGUAAAGAGGCAGCAGUCGAAGGUAGAGCCAAUGAUUGGGGGUGAAGUCGUAACAAGGUAAC